AGAGUUUGAUCCUGGCUCAGGACGAACGCUGGCGGCGUGCUUAACACAUGCAAGUCGAACGGAAAGGCCCUGCUUUUGUGGGGUGCUCGAGUGGCGAACGGGUGAGUAACACGUGAGUAACCUGCCCUUGACUUUGGGAUAACUUCAGGAAACUGGGGCUAAUACCGGAUAGGAGCUCCUGCUGCAUGGUGGGGGUUGGAAAGUUUCGGCGGUUGGGGAUGGACUCGCGGCUUAUCAGCUUGUUGGUGGGGUAGUGGCUUACCAAGGCUUUGACGGGUAGCCGGCCUGAGAGGGUGACCGGCCACAUUGGGACUGAGAUACGGCCCAGACUCCUACGGGAGGCAGCAGUGGGGAAUAUUGCACAAUGGGCGGAAGCCUGAUGCAGCAACGCCGCGUGCGGGAUGACGGCCUUCGGGUUGUAAACCGCUUUCGCCUGUGACGAAGCGUGAGUGACGGUAAUGGGUAAAGAAGCACCGGCUAAGUACGUGCCAGCAGCCGCGGUGAUACGUAGGGUGCGAGCGUUGUCCGGAUUUAUUGGGCGUAAAGGGCUCGUAGGUGGUUGAUCGCGUCGGAAGUGUAAUCUUGGGGCUUAACCCUGAGCGUGCUUUCGAUACGGGUUGACUUGAGGAAGGUAGGGGAGAAUGGAAUUCCUGGUGGAGCGGUGGAAUGCGCAGAUAUCAGGAGGAACACCAGUGGCGAAGGCGGUUCUCUGGGCCUUUCCUGACGCUGAGGAGCGAAAGCGUGGGGAGCGAACAGGCUUAGAUACCCUGGUAGUCCACGCUGUAAACGGUGGGUACUAGGUGUGGGGUCCAUUCCACGGGUUCCGUGCCGUAGCUAACGCUUUAAGUACCCCGCCUGGGGAGUACGGCCGCAAGGCUAAAACUCAAAGGAAUUGACGGGGCCCCGCACAAGCGGCGGAGCAUGCGGAUUAAUUCGAUGCAACGCGUAGAACCUUACCUGGGUUUGACAUGGAUCGGGAGCGCUCAGAGAUGGGUGUGCCUCUUUGG
rnacentral:rRNA from 1 species